rnacentral:rRNA from 1 species
AUGAACGCUGGCGGCGUGCCUCAUACAUGCCAGUCGCGCGAACAGACGAGGAGCUUGCUCCUCUAACGUUAGCGGCGGACGGGUGAGUAACACGUGGAUAACCUACCUAUAAGACUGGGAUAACUUCGGGAAACCGGAGCUAAUACCGGAUAAUAUAUUGAACCGCAUGGUUCAAUAGUGAAAGACGGUUUUGCUGUCACUUAUAGAUGGAUCCGCGCCGCAUUAGCUAGUUGGUAAGGUAACAGCUUACCAAGGCAACGAUGCGUAGCCGACCUGAGAGGGUGAUCGGCCACACUGGAACUGAGACACGGUCCAGACUCCUACGGGAGGCAGCAGUAGGGAAUCUUCCGCAAUGGGCGAAAGCCUGACGGAGCAACGCCGCGUGAGUGAUGAAGGUCUUCGGAUCGUAAAACUCUGUUAUUAGGGAAGAACAAAUGUGUAAGUAACUAUGCACGUCUUGACGGUACCUAAUCAGAAAGCCACGGCUAACUACGUG